rnacentral:rRNA from 1 species
GCGGGGGGUCAGUUUUAAUAUAUAUAGAGGCGCGCUAUACAUGCAGUCGAACGAACUUCCGUUAAUUGAUUAUGACGUGCUUGCACUGAAUGAGAUUUUAACACGAAGUGAGUGGCGGACGGGUGAGUAACACGUGGGUAACCUGCCCAGAAGCAGGGGAUAACACCUGGAAACAGAUGCUAAUACCGUAUAACAGAGAAAACCGCCUGGUUUUCUUUUAAAAGAUGGCUCUGCUAUCACUUCUGGAUGGACCCGCGGCGCAUUAGCUAGUUGGUGAGGUAACGGCUCACCAAGGCGAUGAUGCGUAGCCGACCUGAGAGGGUAAUCGGCCACAUUGGGACUGAGACACGGCCCAGACUCCUACGGGAGGCAGCAGUAGGGAAUCUUCCACAAUGGACGCAAGUCUGAUGGAGCAACGCCGCGUGAGUGAAGAAGGGUUUCGGCUCGUAAAGCUCUGUUGUUAAAGAAGAACGUGGGUGAGAGUAACUGUUCACCCAGUGACGGUAUUUAACCAGAAAGCCACGGCUAACUACGUGCCAGCAGCCGCGGUAAUACGUAGGUGGCAAGCGUUAUCCGGAUUUAUUGGGCGUAAAGCGAGCGCAGGCGGUCUUUUAAGUCUAAUGUGAAAGCCUUCGGCUCAACCGAAGAAGUGCAUUGGAAACUGGGAGACUUGAGUGCAGAAGAGGACAGUGGAACUCCAUGUGUAGCGGUGAAAUGCGUAGAUAUAUGGAAGAACACCAGUGGCGAAGGCGGCUGUCUGGUCUGUAACUGACGCUGAGGCUCGAAAGCAUGGGUAGCGAACAGGAUUAGAUACCCUGGUAGUCCAUGCCGUAAACGAUGAUUACUAAGUGUUGGAGGGUUUCCGCCCUUCAGUGCUGCAGCUAACGCAUUAAGUAAUCCGCCUGGGGAGUACGACCGCAAGGUUGAAACUCAAAAGAAUUGACGGGGGCCCGCACAAGCGGUGGAGCAUGUGGUUUAAUUCGAAGCUACGCGAAGAACCUUACCAGGUCUUGACAUCUUCUGCCAACCUAAGAGAUUAGGCGUUCCCUUCGGGGACAGAAUGACAGGUGGUGCAUGGUUGUCGUCAGCUCGUGUCGUGAGAUGUUGGGUUAAGUCCCGCAACGAGCGCAACCCUUAUUACUAGUUGCCAGCAUUCAGUUGGGCACUCUAGUGAGACGGCCGGUGACAAACCGGAAGAAGGUGGGGAACAACGUCAAAUCUUC